rnacentral:lncRNA from 1 species
GCAAGGCUAGUGGGCAAGCUUUGGCAAGACAACCAAGCAGACCCAGAGUUUCAUCUAUGGUUUCAUUUUUAUUUAUUGACGUGGCACUCUUGGAAACAACAAAAUAAAAUCAUGCAAUGAGAUUGGCAAAGUGACAAUACAUCGUGGGUACAAUGUUCAGAAACAUAAGGCAACAUAACCAAAGUGACACUUGCAAAAUACAUUAUCGAUAAAAUGUUCAGAAACAUAAGACAACCCCAUGGUACUUUCACUCUAAGUACCAUUAGCUACCAAAAUAUAAGAGCACCAUCCCACCUCUAAACCAUCUACUUAAUUAGCCUUACCACCAAGCAUCAAUCCCGCAACAAUAACAAAUAAAGCAAGUAGCACGUGUGCAAGUUUGACAUUGUGCCUAUAAUUCCCAAUGAACUACAGCUCGGCAGUAGCCUUCUAAAGUUGUUGCCGCACCGUCUUGAGCUCAUUCCUAAUCUCUCUAAGCUCACUGUUAGCUUUUGCCAAUUCUUUCUCCCACUUCUUUGCAUCCUCCUCAGCUUGUACCUUCUUCUUUAUGAGCUUCACCAUCCAUUCUGGAUCAAC